AGUUUGAUCAUGGCUCAGGAUGAACGCUAGCGGGAGGCCUAACACAUGCAAGCCGAGCGGUAUUGUUUCUUCGGAAAUGAGAGAGCGGCGUACGGGUGCGGAACACGUGUGCAACCUGCCUUUAUCUGGGGGAUAGCCUUUCGAAAGGAAGAUUAAUACUCCAUAAUAUAUUGAACGGCAUCGUUUAAUAUUGAAAGCUCCGGCGGAUAGAGAUGGGCACGCGCAAGAUUAGCUAGUUGGUGAGGUAACGGCUCACCAAGGCGAUGAUCUUUAGGGGGCCUGAGAGGGUGAUCCCCCACACUGGUACUGAGACACGGACCAGACUCCUACGGGAGGCAGCAGUGAGGAAUAUUGGUCAAUGGGUGCAAGCCUGAACCAGCCAUCCCGCGUGAAGGACGACUGCCCUAUGGGUUGUAAACUUCUUUUGUAUAGGGAUAAACCUACCCUCGUGAGGGUAGCUGAAGGUACUAUACGAAUAAGCACCGGCUAACUCCGUGCCAGCAGCCGCGGUAAUACGGAGGGUGCAAGCGUUAUCCGGAUUUAUUGGGUUUAAAGGGUCCGUAGGCGGACUUAUAAGUCAGUGGUGAAAGCCUGUCGCUUAACGAUAGAACUGCCAUUGAUACUGUAAGUCUUGAGUAUAUUUGAGGUAGCUGGAAUAAGUAGUGUAGCGGUGAAAUGCAUAGAUAUUACUUAGAACACCAAUUGCGAAGGCAGGUUACCAAGAUAUAACUGACGCUGAGGGACGAAAGCGUGGGGAGCGAGCAGGAUUAGAUACCCCGGUA
rnacentral:rRNA from 1 species